rnacentral:miRNA from 1 species
AAGCAGGAGGUGUAAGAAAAGUUACCACACCACAGGGAUAACUGGCUUGUGGAGGCCAAGCGUUCAUAGCGACGUCGCUUUUAGAUCCUUCGA